CCAAUUAAACCUAUUUUCUUUAUAAAUUACUGUCUCAGGUAUUUCCUUAUAGCAAUACAAGAAUCACUCAAUACAUACUGAUAUCAUGAGUUUCACUGGACAUUUAAAAUAUUUUCCUCAUGAGGGAAAAUUCCCACCUUGACCUGACCUCUCAUCAGUUUUAUGUAUCUGCAGAAAAAUCCUUCUAAAAGAUUGAGAUGAGCAACAAUAGGACAAACUUUCAAAUGGUACUGUUGACUGAGAAUACAAUGGACAAUGCCAAACUGUUUACAGAUGUUAUGCUUGGCCUCUUUCCCAGUGCCAGAUAUUUGUAUGAAAGAUGAAGAGUAUAAUCUAUUUACAUACAGUGGUUUUCCUCCCCAAAACUUUUGAGCUUUGUUAUGCUUUAAUAACCAUAUGCUCUUGAAAAUUGAUUUCUUUUUUGAAGACCAUCUGCAUCUAUGUAGCUAGGCACCUAUUUCUUCCAUUUCUUCAAAACUGAAUGUUGCCCUCUUUUCACACUGCAUUCUCCUCACACUACCAGUGCCCCAGUGGAUUAUGUUUUGCUACAGUGAAGGAAAAGAAAACUCUGAAAGACGUAGUGUAGUUGCUGUAGUUUGAAUGUAUUCCUCAAAGUUUAUCCCCAAUGCAACAGUGUUGGCAGGUGGGGUCUAGUAAGGUGAUGAUUAGUUAUGAGAGCUCUGCCUUCAUGAAUGGAUUGAUGAUGUCAUUAUCACAAGGGUGGGUUGGUUACCAUGUGAGUGGGCUUGUUAUAAAAGCAAGUUCAGCCUCCUCUUGCUCUUGCUCUCUUGCCCUUCUGCCUUUUGCCAUGAGAUGACACCAGAUGCAGACCCCUCAACCUUGUACUCCUCAGUCUCCAGAACUAACAAAAUACUAAUUUUGACACAGAUAGGACUCAGGGAAGUCAUAUUCUUAAGGCGGUGGGAGAAGCAUGAAAUGCAUUUGCAGUGGCCUUGGGCCAUUGGUGGUGUCCGCAGGUGAGACAUCUCGAGUGCCUCAUGGACAAACUUCCUCAUGGAAUCCACUGGAGCAAUUAUGAGAGUCCACGGCCUCUCUUCUCUGGUUCUACCCUCUCCCAAUCUCUCACCUGUGCCGAUCACCUCAGUAAUUUGGAAACGGGCUAAGGAGGUCUCUCUUGGCACUGAGCUGUGACACCUUGGGGGAGAAAAAGUGCAGGACCAGAAAAUCUUUCUCUUCCAGUCAGUGUCAUUCAUUUAUGACCAGCGGUUGAAUCCAGUCAUAAAAUCUGAAGCUCCUGGGUACCUCUACAUCACUGGGCCUAUGAUACACUGUUUCAGAACGUACUUACACAUGGGGUGGGACGAUUUUCUUAACUAAUACUUGUGACUACUCCACAGCAAAGCUGGAAACAAAAGUAUUGGGUGAGCUAUCUUCCAAAAUCUGGAGAUGGUUUCGGAGAGAGUUUCAUUGCCAUAAAUUUAAAGGGGGAUUGGAUUUACUCAGGAAAAAUUACAAGUGAGCGUAGGAGAUAAACUAGUAAAUGCCAUAUUUGGCCCACCAGGCACAAAGAAGGGUUAUAAUUGGCUCCUUUAAGUCCUAUAUGCAGAUAUCAAAUCCCUAUACUUGCUCUUUAUUGCAUAGAAUAAAUUUACCUCACUCCUUACUUUGAAACAUGAAAUGAGGAUCAAAUUAUAGUUUCAAUUAUUGCAAAUAGUUGUACAAAUGAAAAGAUUGUCUUAUUGUGGGCAUUACACAAACCCACCAAGGAAUAAGUAAUCUUUAAAUUCUAUGAAGUGAUUUGUAAUCUGAUACAGUAAGAAAAAAAAAUCUCAGACUUUGAUUAAUUACCACCACGCUCACCGCUAUAUCACUGUCCAAUGUCAUCAUAAUUUCACUGCCACUUAAAACUACACUUCAGCCAUAGAAAGCCAAAAAAUUAGGCACUGGUGACCUGUCCAAAAGAAAAAAAAAAAAAAAGGAACAGGAAGUGGAGAAAUACCACCUCAUAAAUUUCACCCAACCACAUUUAACAGCCACCUGGAGUUCACACCAACUCACUUGGAUCUCCUAUGACGAAUAUGCCUCUAUCACAAUGUUGAGGCCACUGAGUUUCUCAUGUACUAAAAUUUGGCUUAAUGUGGUUACUCUUUCUCUCUGGGAGUUUUAAGAACAACUUCAUGGUCAUAAUAUUCUCUUUAAUAAAUAUGAUUCAUCUGAAUGUUAGAUUCCCGUUUAACUACCACAAUCUUCAGAAGAAAAGUUAUAGCUCUUACUGACUUCAGAAGCUGCUCUGGAUGACUUUAUAAUUUAUCAUCCAAAUGGAAGACGUUUGAGAGCGAAAGGAUACACUAAAAUAAUUAAAUGUAUACAAUUUUUGGAAAAUGUUUAUUGCUUAAAAAUAUUGUUUAUUGUAUGAAAUUUUGUAUAUUUAUAUUCAUGUGUCUGUAAAAACAAUUCUAUUCAAAAAUUACUUUAAAAAUUCUUUAAAGAUACAAAUAUAUUUGUAUACUUUAAAACAGGUUGAAAUAUUGAUUAUAUAAACUAUUAGAAAGUUACAUAAGCAGAAAGAAUAUUACCUGCACAUAUUUAUGUGCUUUAAUCUGCUCCUUAGCUGAAUCUGUCUCUAAUGUGUUUUUUAAAAAAUAUUUUUAAAUUAUUUUUAUUUUUCCUAUAAAAUUGUCUGAAAUAUUUGAAAUUUGAAAAUUAAAAUUCUUCAUUUAAAAAUUUGAAGUCACUGAUAUCCUUACUCACUAGACACAUCUUUGUAAAAGAACCAAAAAAAUAAAAUAUCUGUAAAUGUCCCAAGGGAACUGCUUAUCUCCAAAUAAAUUCUGCUAAAUGUGAUAUUAUCUCAAUUUCAAUUUAUUUUAAGCUGAAAUGCAUAAAUGUUUCAGCCCAAAUAUUUUCAUGGGCACUGCCUCUUUUGCCUCCAUGUAGCACAGCUUCUUCCAACAAAUUUUUUUUAAGACAACACUUGUCAAAAAAGUUGUAUCUAUUUAUAAUAUUUUUGAAAACUUCACCAAAUUAAAGCGCUGAAACAUUGUAGGCUUUGUCAAUUUUCUUUCAGUCUGAUACAAAAUACCAUUUAUCCAAUUAAAAUUAGGAAAUCAACAAAUUCUUUCCACAAGUCAGAUGUUCCAAAGCUGUUAUGUAAUUUCAAAACUAAAUGUUAGAGCCUCUUGUGAGCUCAUUCUGCAGUUCGUUCAGCUUCCCCUUGCUUUUGUAGAGAUAAAUGUUUUCCUGCCUGCAAGAUAUUGUCUUCAAUAUUUUCAGUUUGCAGAAAGCUUCAACCAGAAGUUGCUGUUUUUUCUUGCCACACCAUUUUUAAAUGCGUUGUUUAAAAAUUUUUCAGCCGAUUUUGCAUACAGUGCAACCAAAAGUUAGAUAACUCAUUUAUCAAAAUAUGAAUAUUAUUGUAGGACAUUAAGGUUGAUUUAGAAAGUAGUUAUUCAAAUGAUCAAACAUUCCUAAAAUCUUACUGAUGAGAGGCUGCAGAAAAAGCAUACCGUUAUGCUGGAGAUUUUUAAAUUCAAUAUUAGCUUUAUCACAAAAGUUUAAUUAUUCCAAUUGUGUAGAUAUAAAAAUAUUUAUGGAUUUUGACAUCUUUAGCUUCUAUUUCAAUUAGUAGAUUUUUUUAAUUAAACUUAAGUUCUGGGAUACAUGUGCAGAACGUGCAGGUUUGUUACAUAGAU
rnacentral:lncRNA from 1 species